AUUCUACAUCAAAACAUACUUUUCUACUUAAAUUGUAUUUGUUCUUGUUUGUUUCUUUAAAUGUUUACAAAUGGGCAUUUUUAUCUUUAAAUAUAAGGUCUUGCGUCAUUCAGUGUAGGAUUAUAGCACACAUAAACUAAGGUUAUUAUGUUUAAUAAUUAUAGGAUUAUGCAAAAAAGUAUUGCCUUUAUUUUUAAAAUAUUAACGCAAUGUUAAAAAGUAAUAACAUUUACAUUAAUCUGUCCACCUUUGAUGCAAAAAUAGAACAGAAAACGGGACCCAGAGGCAUUUGUGUUGUUUGUUUUCACAUAUCCUGCUCUGUGAUGCUGGUCUGCACAAUUUAACUGUGUAUUCCCCUCAAAUUAGUUGUAAAAUGUUUUGAGUAAUUCUUCCUGCAAUAAAUGUUAUUCCCCUUACACUCUGCUUAUGGAUAAUGUGUAACCAUCAUAAAAACUGCAAAUCACUCUCCAAUUUAUAAACAUUUAACCCACAGCUUAACCCCUUCGUGACCAGACCGUUUUUCAAUUUUCUUACCGUUAAGGACCAGGGCUAUUUUUCCAUUGCUGCAGUGUUUGUGUUUAGCUGUAAUUUUCCUCUUACUCAUUUACUGUACCCACACAUAAUAUAUACCGUUUUCUCACCAUUAAGUGGUCUUUCUAAAGAUACCAUUAUUUACAUCAUAUCAUAUAAUUUACUAUAAAAAACAUUUUAUAAAAAUAUGAUGAAGAAAUAAAAAAACACACAUUUUCUAACUUUGACCCCCAACAUCUAUUACACAUAUACAAGAGCCAUAAAACACCCAUCCUGAAUGGUUUCUAAAUUUUGUCCUUGGUUUAGAAAUACCCAAUGUUAACAUGUUCUUAGCUUUUUUUUUUGCAAGUUAUAAGGCUGUAAGUAGAAGUAGGACAUUGCUGUUUCAAAAUAUAUAUUUUUAAAAUGUAUCAAUAGUGACAUUGUAACACUGUUAUUCGUCAUAAAUCUCUGAAUCAUACCUCACAUGUACAUAUUUUUUUUUAAAGUGGACAACCCAGGGUAUUCAAUAUGGGGUAUGCCCAGUCUUUUUUAGUAGCCACUUAGUCACAAACAUUGGCCAAAAUUAGCAUUUAUAUUUGUUUGUGUUAAAAAUUCAAAAAAACUAUUAUGAAUGCUUUGGCCAGUGCUUG